GAUCCUCUCCCAGAGGGUCUGAAGCUUUCACUCAUGCUCCUGAACGGGUAAGCUCCCCCUCUAGUGUUCACUGCUCAUCAGAUUAUUCCUCCAACAAAUAAGACAGAGAACUGCCUGUUUUUUUGGUUCCCUAUCGAAGGACGGAGCUUGGAACAACAUUUAUAACGGUUUAAUGACACAAAGAGUAAAAGGUGCUGCAGCCCAUCCAUCUGCUGAAUGUUGCCAAGUAACAGCCAUCCAUGGAACAUGGAAAAAUGAAUUCACCCGGCCAGGCCCAAAUUGUCGACCCACAGAACAUGAGAUGCAGAAGCUCUAACCAAGGAUUCCUAGAGAGAAAGAGUAGAGCCAUGAGACGAAGGGAGCCUGGGUCCCUAAAUCACCAUGUCGGAGCUCUUCAGCGAAAAGCUGACGCUGAGCUGCUACGUGAGCAAGAGACACCUUGCCCAGCUAUAGUGCAGUAAUAUCAUCAUGGCUCACUGCAAUCUCGACUUCUCCAGCUCAAACAAUCCUCCCACCUCAGCCUCCCAAGCAGUUGGGACUACAGGCACGUGUCAUUACACCCAGACAGGGUAUCACUCUGUUGCCCAGGUUGGAUUCCAGUGGCAUGAUCAUGGCUCAGUGCAGUCUCGACUUCUGGGGUUCAAGCGAUUCCCCCAUCUCAGCCUCCUCAGUGGCUAGGAUCACAGGUAUACACCACCAUACCCAGAGUCAUGCAGGGUGAGCCAUUCUUGCCACUGAGAAGUAUGUCAUAUCUGAGAACAACUGACCCAGAUAAUUGCUCAGUAAGAGUAUAUUUGAGAUUAUUGAAGACUUAAAAGCAUCUCAUUAUUAAAUGUGCUAUAUCAUGUUUUUCACUUUAGGCUCCAAGUGUUUUUGACUUGAUAAAGUUUUGUUGUGUUAAUUUUGAUCACUUUAAUCUUUUAUUGGAUCAUUUUCCCACAUUAAAUUUAAAUAGGAAGAACAUAUGUACUGCUGUUUUGCCAUAAACUCUGAUGUGCCUCAACUGGCUUCCAACUUCAGUCUGUUCUGGAAGGCUGUACUUACAGGUCUCAGCCAGCAAGCUGAAACUGACAAAGGAGCGUUCCACUUCUCUGCUGUAAAAGUUGUACUUACCUUGUUUUCAUGAAACCAAUCUCCGUUUCCAAGGAAACAAGAACAAAAAGGCAGUUGGCAGCUAGCAUCUGGGACUUAGAAGAACUCUCACAUGUCAAUUUCAACUGCUGGCUGCCGGCUCAAACGUAAAGAUGUGGGGUAUUAAAAUCACCUUCAGACUUGUAACGUACAAAAGAAUAUUAAGGUUUUUUCCUUAGUGUUUAAAUAAUCAAGUUUAAUAGCAAACCAUUUAAAAUAUCCUUUGAAAUACUAUAACAAAUAUUAUAAUUGUUAAAAAUUAUCUAAUACAAAAACUUGUUUUAUUUAAAAACAGUAGGCACAUAUAUUGCAGAUAUUUUCUCAGUUUUACACCAUAAAUUUUUGCCACUUUUCCCCUUUUACUUAAUCAUUUCACUUUCUCCUUUUUAAAUAAUGAUUCAUAUGGUCCCAACUACUUACUCCUUUCUCUUUUCUUUUUUUUUUUUUUUUUUUUUUGAUUCAUGCAAAAUAUCCAGAUAGUGUCUGUUUUAUCCGUAAAGCUUUGUGGCCAUGUUUAGUGUUUUAAUAAAGUGUUUUAAUGAUGAAACAUGAAAAUGCACAUUGUCAUUUUUCUCUUAAAAAUAUAAUUUCAUGAUUCUAGGCUUGGACACCUACAUUAACACAACCUGCU
rnacentral:lncRNA from 10 species